GCAUUCAUAUUCUUCAUGUCGAGCUUAUCCUCCUUUGCGCAUCCCUUGACCUCCAUUCUUCAGCAGAAACGCGAUUCCAACACGAAUCACGAUUCCUAUAGUCGAUCUCGCCCCAGUGCAGACCACCUGCCCGUCGGCGCCAGCACUAGAGCAGUAGAAGACCAAGCCUGCUCCUUGCUUCGCUCCUGUGUCUCCUUCCCCCGCCUCACCCAAAUCCAUGCCCACUUCGUCCGCCACGCCAUUUACUCUAGCAACCUCGUCGCCGCGAAGCUCGUCUCCGCCUGCUUCUCCCUCGACCGCCCGUCCUACGCCGACCGGGUCUUCGCUCAUGUCCCCCGCUAUGUUGGCCUCGGCCGCCACCGCAAUGCCUUGCUCGUUUAACGCCGGAUGCUCGACUGCGGUUGCCGCCUGGACAGCUUCUCCUUCACUUCCGCCCUCAAAGCUUGCUCGAAUCUUCUCGCCCUCGAGGAAGGGAUGGCCCUGCAUGGUCAUGUCCUGAAGUUGGGCCUGGGCGCCGACAUCUACAUUGCGACGUCGCUGAUGGACCUUUAUGGGAUGUGUUCUCAAGCACUGGAUGCUCGUAAGGUGUUCGAUCACAUGCCUGAUAAAGACGUUGUGGCUUGGAAUGUGAUGCUCUCUAGCUACGCUUGCUUAGGUAUGAUGCGGCUCGCAGAACAGUUGUUUGAGGAGAUUCCCCUGCGAAAUGUUAACUCUUGGACUGCGUUGAUCUGUGGGUUCUUGGAAUGUGGAGAUUUAAGCGAAUCAAUGAUCGCCUUUCACCGAAUGCAGCUACAUGGUUUGAAGCCUGACAAAGUCAUGGUUGUCACAAUGUUAUCUGCUAUUGCUGAUCUAGGAAUGCUGGAUUCAGGUAAGUGGUUUCAUGAGUAUGUGAAGAAGAAUGAGAUUGCAAUUGAUGCUUAUGUUGGCAAUGCACGCGUAGAUAUGUAUGCUAAAUGCGGCAGUAUCCAGGAUGCCAGACUAGUGUUCGAUGAGAUAAUUCGAAAAAAUAUUUCAUGCUACAAUUCUAUGAUCUUCGGACUGGCUGCUCAUGGACUAGGGGAGGAAGCUCUUGAAAUAUUAACAGAUGCUGAGAGAACUGGGAUUGGAAUAGAUGACAUUACUAUGACUGCGGUUCUAACUGCAUGCAGCCACUCUGGCUUGGUCGAGGAAGGUCUGAAGUACUUUAAAACAAUGCAAAAUGUUUAUGGCAUUGAGCCUAAGAAGGAACAUUAUGGAUGCAUUGUUGAUCUUCUGGGAAGAGCUGGAAGAUUUGAUGAGGCAAUGCAGAUCAUAGAGAUCACAGAGGAUGAUUCUUUCAUAUUGGGAACAUUAGCUGCAGCUUGUAGGACUCAUGGAAAUCUUGAGUUAGCCAAUGAACUAGUAAAAAACAUCUCCAAGUUGGAUCCAACAAAUUGUGGGUUUCUAGUGUUGCAAGCUAAUGCUGAAGCAGCUAGUGGGAGGUGGGAAGAGGCUGUAAAUGUUAGAAGACUGAUAAAGGAUACUAGAAUCAAGAAGAGGCCUAGUUGCAGUUGGAUUGAAGUGGGAAAUGAAGUGCACAAGUUUGUUGCUAGUGACAACUCUCAUCUAAAUUCAGUAAAGAGUGCGAGGUAUAUAUGUUGAAUAGUGGCACAGGAAGAAUGGUUUAGACAUUGAAUUUAUUGACAAAUAAAGCAGACCAUGUUAACAACACCUCAAAGCGUUAGAACUUAGAAGAUUAGCCAAGUGAUCUGUGACACUGUUUGCUUCCUCAG